rnacentral:rRNA from 1 species
UACGAAGGGGGCGAGCGUUGUUCGGAAUUACUGGGCGUAAAGGGCGCGCAGGCGGCUCUUCAAGUCAGGCGUGAAAGCCCCGGGCUCAACCUGGGAAUGGCGCAUGGGACUGGCGGGCUAGAGUUCGGGAGAGGAGCGUGGAAUUCCCAGUGUAGAGGUGAAAUUCGUAGAUAUUGGGAAGAACACCGGUGGCGAAGGCGGCGCUCUGGACCGAGACUGACGCUGAGGCGCGAAAGCGUGGGGAGCAAACAGG